AUUGAACGCUGGCGGCAGCCCUAACACAUGCAAGUCGAACGAGUGGCGGACGGGUGAGUAAGGUCUGGGAAACUGCCUGAUGGAGGGGGAUAACUCCUGGAAACGGUAGCUAAUACCGCAUACACUCAGAUGUGCCCAGAUGGGCUUAGCUAGUUGGGGGGGUAACGGCUCACAAAUGCGACGAUCCCUAGCUGGUCUGAGAGGAUGACCAGUCACACUGGAACUGAGACGAGGGCCAGAGUCCUACGUGAGGCAGCAGUGGGGGAUAUUUCACAAUGGGCGCAAGCCUGAUGCAGCCAUGCCGCGUGUAUGAAGAAGGCCUUCGGGUUGGAAAGUACUUUCAGCGGGGAGUCGUUACCCGCAGAAGAAGCACCGGCUAACUCCGUGCCAGCCGCCGCGGUAAUUC
rnacentral:rRNA from 1 species